CCCAAUAAGCGACGCCGCGCGGGCACCCGCACAGCUCGUGCUGAAGCGGCAGGAUCAUGACACCAUGCUUCUAUCAGACUAAACUAGGGUAGUUGUGAUUACGCAAGUUGCUUACCUUGGUCAGGUGUGACUGAGGAGAGAAUGAAUAAGGCAUGAAAUUUUAAAGUGUCUUUGAGUGCCUAGAAAAUUGGCUGUGCCUUGCUUCCUGCCCGAUGACAGCUGGGAUUGGGUCCAGCACUCCCACGACCCAAGUGGGGAUAAGCGGUGCCAAAAAUGGAUGGAUGCAACUGAAUGAUUCGAUGAAAAAAAACAAAGGAACUUCUUUUACCGUGCAAGAAUUACAACAAAAAAGAUCGAUUCAAAGGAGGCAAGAUGGAGGUGGGUGUGAGCCGUCCAUAGCCACAACUUUCAGAAGCAAGACUCUACGGAGAUUCAUUUUCUUAUAUCUACAGUUAUGUACCUUAUGUGUACAUUUUACUAGGAAAGUGUCUGCGGUCGGAAUCAUUAGUAAUGGUAAUGCAGUCAGGUCUCCUACUUCCACACACGCGUAUGUAAAUACUGUAUAGACAUGCACAUGUAUGCACCGUAUACGCACGAAUAGCCACUCGUCGCUCUUGACACGGGUACUCCAAACAUCAACUAGCCUUGGAAAAGUUCCAGGUUGCUGUCCCUCCCAAUUUGUCAAUCCUCUCGUCCAAUCUGUGUGAUUGUCUUAAUAUGGCCGGCGAGUGGAAAAGACACCCAUGUGGGAGUCACUAAAGUAAAUGUCCCAAAGAUCCUCGUCUCUUUUUUCCAAACAAGAGUCAAGUGUUUAUUUAAUCUUUGAAAGGUACCUACAUUAUGUAGGAUUUGGCCAGUCACUGUAAGAUAAUGCCUUACUGAAUACUCUGCACAGUAAACGAUGUUAUUUUUGUGUCUGUGCAUUCUGCUUGGUUUUUUUUUUUUUUUUUUUUUUUU